AUUGAACGCUGGCGGCAUGCCCUACACAUGCAAGUCGAACGGCAGCACGGGAGCAAUCCUGGUGGCGAGUGGCGAACGGGUGAGUAAUGUAUCGGAACGUGCCUUGUCGUGGGGGAUAACGUAGCGAAAGCUACGCUAAUACCGCAUACCAUCCAAGGAUGAAAGCGGGGGAUCGCAAGACCUCGCGCGACAAGAGUGGCCGAUAUCAGAUUAGGUUGUUGGUGGGGUAAAGGCCUACCAAGCCGACGAUCUGUAGCUGGUCUGAGAGGACGACCAGCCACACUGGGACUGAGACACGGUCCCGACUCCUACGGGGGGCAGCAGUGAGGAAUAUUGGGCAAUGGGCGGAAGCCUGACCCAGCAACGCCGCGUGGAGGAUGAAGGCCUUCGGGUCGUAACUCCUUUGACGGGAAGAGGAAGGACGGUACCGUCGUAUAAGUCACGGCUAAC
rnacentral:rRNA from 1 species